UACGGAGGAUCCAAGCGUUAUCCGGAUUUAUUGGGUUUAAAGGGUGCGUAGGCGGAAUUGUAAGUCAGUGGUGAAAUCCUACAGCUUAACUGUAGAACGGCCAUUGAUACUGCAAAUCUUGAGUACAUUUGAAGUGGGCGGAAUGUGUCAUGUAGCGGUGAAAUGCUUAGAUAUGACACAGAACACCGAUUGCGAAGGCAGCUCACUAAACUGUAACUGACGCUGAGGCACGAAAGCGUGGGGAGCAAACAGGAUUAGAUACCCUGGUAGUCCACGCCCUAAACUAUGAUUACUCGAUGUGUGCGAUACACUGUACGCGUCUAAGCGAAAGCAUUAAGUAAUCCACCUGGGGAGUACGAUCGCAAGAUUGAA
rnacentral:rRNA from 1 species